rnacentral:rRNA from 1 species
CACGUAGGGGACGAGCGUUGUCCGGAUUCAUUGGGCGUAAAGCGCGCGUAGGCGGUUACGCAAGUCGGUUGUGAAAAUCCGGGGCUCAACCCCGGACCUGCAUCCGAUACUGCGUGACUAGAGGUAGGUAGGGGAGAUCGGAAUCCUGGUGUAGCGGUGAAAUGCGCAGAUAUCAGGAAGAACACCAGUGGCGAAGGCGGCUCACUGGCCCGGAACUGACGCUGAGGUGCGAAAGCGUGGGGAGCAAACAGG